UACGUAGGGCGCAAGCGUUGUCCGGAAUUAUUGGGCGUAAAGAGCUCGUAGGCGGCCAGUUGCGUCUGCUGUGAAAUCCCGGGGCUCAACCCCGGGCUUGCAGUGGAUACGGGCUGGCUGGAGGCAGGCAGGGGAGAACGGAAUUCCCGGUGUAGCGGUGAAAUGCGCAGAUAUCGGGAGGAACACCGGUGGCGAAGGCGGUUCUCUGGGCCUGUACUGACGCUGAGGAGCGAAAGUGUGGGGAGCGAACAGG
rnacentral:rRNA from 1 species